rnacentral:lncRNA from 1 species
CCCACCCUCUGCCACGCCAUGGUACUUCCCAGAAUGUCUUGUGCAGGGCAGGAAGUGCGGCCCCUCUGCUUCCUCUCAGAAAUCCCAUAAGCAGAGAGGACAGUGAGGGUGGGGUCUCUCAGGAAGGGCUCUAGCUACUGUUGUCCCACAGUGCCUUUCCUGUGAGCAUACAGCAUUACUCUCCAUUGUCCUUCAACCUAGUUGUCACUUCCUCCAGGAAGUCCUCUCUGAUUACUACUGCUGCUCCCAGGCCAAGAACCCUGCUAAUUCAAGGACAAGCGCAGAGAUUGGGACUUCACCUAAGAGGCCUUGGGCGAACCAGAAGCACAUAGUGGUGCUGUGAAGACCCCGUGAAGCUGAAGGGCACCUGUGCAGAGAAGCAACGAGAACCAGUGGCCUCUGUCCUCGGCAGACAAGAGGUGGUGGUGACUGGCAAGAGGCAGGGGACAGUGAGGCGAAGAGGAAGCAGAUAAAACCAAAGGACAGGAAGGACACAGACCUCUGGGGUGAAGACAGAAUGAAGGGAUCUAGUGGGUGGUAAAAGCCCAGCAGACACCUGAGUAAUGGAAAGUCACUAUCCUGGCACUCCCAGAGGAGAAGCUGAUGGGAGGUGUAAUGGCCAUUGUCAAUAAUGGUUGCCCCUCGGGAGACUGACAGCCCAGCAGAAUCUCAGGACACCGGAGGCCAUACGUGUGAGGUCAUAUCUUCCCUUGAGAGCUGCAGUGCUCAGCGAGCCCACAGAAGCCAAACAGAAGCAGGACAGAGGGGAACCAUCCAGCUUCCUGCCAACGUGCUGAGUGGACAGACGGGCUUCAAAAGACAGGAGAAGAGGGAGAAAAGUGGUGGCCUUGCCCGUAAAGAGCACUGAUGCCCUAGGGACCCAUCGCAUCCAGCAAGGUGAGAUGAAGUAGACUUAGCUGGUGCUGCUUCAGGGAGAGUGGGUACCCUCAACACUUCCCCUCAGGGAGAGUCAGUGGGCUGGGUCGAGAGGAGGGUGGCCAAGGGUCUCCAGUUAUCAGUAAAAGGGGG